AUUGAACGCUGGCGGCAGGCCUAACACAUGCAAGUCGAGCGGAUGAAGGGAGCUUGCUCCUGGAUUCAGCGGCGGACGGGUGAGUAAUGCCUAGGAAUCUGCCUGAUAGUGGGGGAUAACGUCCGGAAACGGGCGCUAAUACCGCAUACGUCCUGAGGGAGAAAGUGGGGGAUCUUCGGACCUCACGCUAUCAGAUGAGCCUAGGUCGGAUUAGCUAGUUGGUGGGGUAAAGGCCUACCAAGGCGACGAUCCGUAACUGGUCUGAGAGGAUGAUCAGUCAAACUGGAACUGAGACACGGUCCAGACUCCUACGGGAGGCAGCAGUGGGGAAUAUUGGACAAUGGGCGAAGGCCUGAUCCAGCCAUGCCGCGUGUGUGAAGAAGGUCUUCGGAUUUUAAAGCACUUUAAGUUGGGAGGAAGGGCAGUAAGUUAAUACCUUGCUGUUUUGACGUUACCAACAGAAUAAGCACCGGCUAACUUCGUG
rnacentral:rRNA from 1 species